rnacentral:snRNA from 1 species
AUAUGUGAGACUAAUCUGGCUGAGACAUCUGUCACUUCAUUAAUUGUCAAAGUUGAUUUAGCUGAUUUGGCUGGCUAGGAAGGUGUCUCCUUCCUCCCUCAUUGUUCCAUGUGUGAUCCUCCUGAAGCUUCAUGCUUGGCCAAAGAGGACAACCUUUCCCAGUUGAGAAGGACCAUUCUUCUGUCAAGGAUAUAUGAGUAGCUGCCCUCCCCUACUAAAACCUCCAAACAGGCUAUCAAGUGGUAAAACUUUUUAAGAUGUUAUCUUAUUUCCAGUGUCUUCCUG